AAGAGGAUGGGGUGGUACAGCCAAGAGAAGUGAGGUCUCCUUUAAGAUCGUUAAAUGACCACAGUGAUUCUGAAGAGGAAGACUUUAGACCUCCAAGAAAGUCAACCCCACAACCAAAUAGUGCAAGGCCACAAUCUCAACUGCCAACUCCACCUGCUUAUCACAAUCCUACUCAGAAAAAAUCUGGGUUUCAAGCCAGUAGGCCUUCCACCGGUCUAUCCUUGUCUACAUUGCAAGCCAGGCCUUCCUCCAGUCUGUCCUGUUCUACAAUACAAGCCAG